rnacentral:rRNA from 1 species
AUAAGCUACAAAGGGCGUAUGAUGGAUGCCUUGGCACUUGGAGACGAUGAAGGACGUGAUAAGCUGCGAUAAGCUUCGGAUAGCGGCAAAUACGCUUUGACCCGGAGAUUUCCGAAUGGGGUAACCCGGCUGGAGUAAUAUCCAGUCAUCACUUACUGAAUACAUAGGUAAGUGAAGUGAUACCUGGUGAAGUGAAACAUCUCAGUAACCAGAGGAAUAGAAAGCGAAAGCGAUUCCGUCAGUAGUGGCGAGCGAAAGCGGAACAGGCCAAACCAGUCAGCUUGCUGGCUGGGGUUGUAGGACUGCGAUAUGGUAGUGGUGACGUUAGUGGAAGCGGAUGGAAAGUCGCUCCAUAGACGGUGAGAGGCCGGUACACGAAAACCGAGCCACGCCUAGCAGUAUCCUGAGUAAUACGAUGCACGUGAAACUUCGUAUGAAUCGGUGCCGACCACGGCAUAAGCCUAAAUACUACCAAGUGACCGAUAGUGAACUAGUACCGUGAGGGAAAGGUGAAAAGUACCGCUGUGAGCGGAGUGAAAUAGUACCUGAAAUCAUAUGCCUACAAGGUGUCAAAGCUCGCAAGAGUGAUGGCGUGCCUUUUGCUUAAUGAGUCUGCGAGUUAGUGUCAGUGGCAAGCCUAAGUCCCGCAAGGACGGAGGCGAAGCGAAAGCGAGUCUGAAAUGGGCGAACUUAGUCGCUGGUGCUAGACCCGAAGGGGAGGUGAUCUACCCAUGGCCAGGUUGAAGGUUGCUUAACCGCAACUGAAAGACCGAACCGGUGAAUGUUGAAAAAUUCUCGGAUGAGCUGUGGGUAGGAGUGAAAGGCUAAUCAAACCCCCGGAUAGCUGGUUCUCCUCGAAAUAGGUUGAGGCCUAGCCUCGGAUGCUGACACGCGGAGGUAGAGCACUGGCUCAAUGAUGGCCCCUACCGGGGUACUGAAUUGAAUCAAACUCCGAAUGCCGCGUGGUGCAGUCCGGGAGUCAGACAGUGGGGGAUAAGCUCCAUUGUCGAAAGGGAAACAGCCCAGAUCGCCAGCUAAGGUGCCUAAAUAUGGUGAAGUGGAAAGGAUGUCAGGUUUCAUUGACAGUGAGGAUGUUGGCUUAGAGGCAGCCAUCAUUUAAACAAUGCGUAAUAGCUGACUCAUCGAGAGACCUGGCGCCGAAAAUGAUCGGCGAUAAAGCCAUAUACCGAAGCUGCGGAUACGAUGGAUCUACGGAUCCAUCGCAUGGUAGAGGAGCGUCCUAAGUGCUGUGAAGCAGAAGGGUAACCGACUGUGGAGCGCUCAGGAGUGAGAAUGCAGACAUGAGUAGCGAUAAGCCGGGUUUAAUUCCCGGCCGCCGUAAACCCAAGGUUUCCUGGGCAAGGUUCGUCCUCCCAGGGUUAGUCGGGAACUAAGUCGAGGCCGAGAGGCGUAGGCGAUGUCAAGCGGGUUCAAUAUUCCCGCACCCCCGAAACUUAAACCGGCUGGACGCAUGCACGGAGACAGGCGAGGUGUUGAAUGUCCUUGUCCCGCAAGGGGACGCAAGGGGCCUAGCCCUGAGCGGAUCUGUUGAAGUGUGUGCCAAGAAAAAGGCCGGUGUAUGCUAAGGGGCCCGUACCGCAAACCGACACAGGUGGGUGGGUAGAAUAUACCAAGGCGCGUGAGUGAACUCUCUCCAAGGAACUCGGCAAUCUAGCCCCGUAUCCUCGGAAGAAGGGGCGCCACCUUCGGGUGGCCGCAGUGAAAGGGGUCAACCGACUGUUUACCAAAAACACAGCUCUCUGCUAAGUCGCAAGACGACGUAUAGGGAGUGACACGUGACCAAUGCGGAAAGAUUAAGGCAAGGGGUUAGCCGCAAGGCGAAGCUCUGAACCCAAGUCCCCGUGAAUGUCGGCCGUAACUAUAACGGUCCUAAGGUAGCGAAAUUCCUUGUCGGGUAAGUUCCGACC